rnacentral:rRNA from 1 species
GACGAACGCUGGCGGCGUGCUUAACACAUGCAAGUCGAACGGAAAGGCCCUGCUUUUGUGGGGUGCUCGAGUGGCGAACGGGUGAGUAACACGUGAGUAACCUGCCCUUGACUUUGGCAUAACUUCAGGAAACUGGGGCUAAUACCGGAUAGGAGCUCCUGCUGCAUGGUGGGGGUUGGAAAGUUUCGGCGGUUGGGGAUGGACUCGCGGCUUAUCAGCUUGUUGGUGGGGUAGUGGCUUACCAAGGCUUUGACGGGUAGCCGGCCUGAGAGGGUGACCGGCCACAUUGGGACUGAGAUACGGCCCAGACUCCUACGGGAGGCAGCAGUGGGGAAUAUUGCACAAUGGGCGGAAGCCUGAUGCAGCAACGCCGCGUGCGGGAUGACGGCCUUCGGGUUGUAAACCGCUUUCGCCUGUGACGAAGCGUGAGUGACGGUAAUGGGUAAAGAAGCACCGGCUAACUACGU